rnacentral:rRNA from 1 species
AUUGAACGCUGGCGGCAGGCCUAACACAUGCAAGUCGAACGAGUGGCGGACGGGUGAGUGGUGUCUGGGAACCUGCCUGAUGGAGGGGGAUGACGACUGGAAACGGUAGCUAAUACCGCAUACCAUCGGAUGGGCCGAGAUGGGAGUAGCUAGUAGGUGGGGUAAAGGCUCACCAAGGCGACGAUGCCUAGCUGGUCUGAGAGGCUGACCAGCCACACUGGGACUGAGACACGGCCCAGACUCCGACGGGAGGCAGCAGUGGGGAAUAUUCCACAAUGGGCGAAAGUCUGAUGCAGCAAUGCCGCGUGAAUGAAGAAGGCCUUCGGGUCGUAAAGCACUUUUGUUGGGGAGGCGUUAUCCACAGAGAAAGCCACGGCUAACUACGUGCCAGCAGCCGCGGUAAUAC